ensembl:lncRNA
AAAAAAAAUGUAUUUAUGGCUGUGAGGAGCCAUUAAUCUCUGCAUUUACGCUCCACACAUGGUUGUACAGCAGCUGUGAGCUCGGCCUUCCUCCUGCUUCCUUUCCUUUCUCCAGCGAUCCACUCCAAAUCUCAGCUGGGCGUUUUACUAUAGCUGAGACCCUGAAAUACUGGUUUGAGAAGCACCUUGUUAGCAUCCACUGGAAUCAUCCUCAAAAUGGAGGACUCGAGAAAAGAGAAUCAGAUGAGUCCAACUGAUCUGACUUUGAUCACCAUGAAAGCUUCCAGACAGCUUGAAACCAUCUUCUCUGGAGGAAACUACCUACCCAAGAGUAGAGCCAUUACAGAGGAAUGCAGAGAUAAGAGAUGGAGACUGACACGGUCCUGAUGACAUCAUUGGAACUGGGUCCAGCCAUACCUCCAGCUAGCAC